CCUCUUCAUACCUGCAGGGCAAGGGAAACUGAUAACAUCGUGACAUCUUCAGGCAUCCUUUAUAGGUAAAGAGCUCUGCAUCAGCUUUUCGGAUCACAUUGACCCCCUGAUGUUUUACUCAAGGCGUUAGAGAUCUGCUGUCCACAAUCAAUGUUACUCUGGCUGCUGCUGUUUGUGGAAGGGUGAAGUCUGUACACCAAAACAACCCAAAGCUGCCUUGGAAGGAUCCUGUAAGAGGGCAAGAUGUGGAAAAACAGUUUGUAUAUGUCUAUGAGAUUUGGAACUGAGGCUUUUGUGCCUCAAACACAGGCAUAAGUAUAACUGCUGAGUACAUAUAUUCUUUUUUAAUACCUUACCAUGUGUGAAUUUUAUGUUAAAAUGGAUGUUAAAUUUAUUUAUUUCUUUAUAAUAGACACAUAUAUUUUAUUUAUGUAUUUUAUUUAUUUUUUAUAAUAUCUAUUUUAUUAGGCUUAAUUUUAGGGUAGCAUCUUUCACACAAAGUUAGAGUUUUGAAAUACCAGCCUUAACUCCAUUUUACCUUAUUUUUUAUCUGAUGUGAAAAGUUUUAUACUUUAUGGCUUUCUCUUUUCAUUUGUGCAGAAAUAUUAUGCAUUUCUAGCUAGUAUUUGCAGCUGGAAACAGAUUCUGCUUUGUUAACAAUAUAUUGGUAUAUUGUUUCCAAAUUGGUUGGAAAUCUCUUAAUGAAAAGGAAAAGAAAAACAAAAUAUUUAUUGGAAAAGGCUAUAAUUUUUAGAAGAAUUCCAAGAAAAAUAAAAUAAUAAACUGAAUAAGCAAUUGCAUAAUUGUCACACAUAAAAGAAAGGGAUUAGGAAAAAAAGAAACUCUUCAGAAGUAUGAAAAAAUGAGACUCUUUAAGGCAAAAUAUAUGUGUGGACACCUUAAUUCUCCACUAAGAAAACAAUUCUCAUUAGCUUAUAAAUUUGGAAAUGGUUGGAAGUGCUAAAUGCAAACAGAAGAAUUAAAAGAUAUGGUGAUAAAGCUUGAACAGUGGCAUUCUUGUACUAACUUAAUGUCUAAAAAAUGAUGAUAUUAAUAAAUAGCUUGACUGCAUUAAUUCCAAGGGUUUUAAUUACAGUUCUAUUUUCUAUUGGCUCCUUGCCUACAAACAGAAGCAGGUUAGAGCAGAGGAAUUUUGUGUGUGAAUAAAAAACUGAAACUGCUUAUACUUCAGAGGCAAUACUUGCCCCAAAGGUUUUUAAUUUUGCUAUUUUUAGUUGCUUGCAGUUCAUUUCAGGGGAUAGACAUUGCAUUACAAAAGCAUUAUUAAUAGAAACUUUCCUUCAUUUCUUAAUUAAUGUAUGGUUUGAGCUAGUGUCAAUUAUAACAAUUUUAUUAUUUUUUUCUCAUGAAACCCAAGUAAUUGUAAUAGAUUAAAUCUUGGGCAGGUCAUUUUGCAAAUGUGAAGUUACUUUCAGUAGUUUCCCCUGAAGAACUUUUAAGUUCCAUUGGGGUGAACUUCUGCUUUGAAAAUGCAAACCAGAAGUUUUUUGGUAGUGAUGAAAUUAAUAAGUUGAGGGCGGAAUGCUGCUUACAGGUGGAUAUAUUGAUGAUAAACACAAUGUAAGACUUUUCAGAGGACAAAUUUAUUUGAAUGGCAAUAGGAGCUGCUACUCUUGAAGUCUCUGCAUGGACGAAGAGAUAGAAAUAUUAUAAAAUGUAUCAGGACAUGUGUAUGUCAGCUUUGACACUCUCUCCAUGACGUGGCCUCUGCUGUUCUCCAGAACAACAGAUCACUGUGACCAGAGAGCAGCAGAGAGCUUGUGUUCUCCCAUACACCCCAGGAGCAAGAUACAAGUGUCCCUUAUGGAAAUGGGUAUUCUAGAAAAAGAUGAAGAAAAGCUAUAGAAUCAUAGAAUAGUCUGCGUUGGAAGGGACCUUUAAAGGUCAUCUAGUCCAACCCCUCUGCAAUGAGCAGGGACAUCUUCAACUAGAUCAGGUUGCUCAGAGCAAUGUUUCCAGGGAUGGGACAUCUACAACCUCUAUAUAAAACCUGGAUCUGAUUUGCUUUACCAAACACUCCUAACCAACUGAAGCCAGGGCUUCCUUUUCCCUUCAAGCAGUUUAGUUUAUCUGGUAUAAGAGCUAGGCAGUCUCUAGACUAUCAGUUUAUAAGGUACCCAAUUUUAUUAUUAGAACUCCAAAUCAUAUUGAAAAUUAAUGUGGUUGACACAUCAGCGGGUACUGGACAUCACAGCUGAGGUGUAAUUAGUAUGCAGUUUGAAUUUGUCUGAUCUUUUUUCUGUACUAAAAAAUAGUAAAUGCAGCUUGAAUUCAUAAAAUAUAAUCUUAGUGUAAUAGUUCUUUUUAAAACAGCCCGUCAUAACUAGUCUGUGACUAUGUCAGUCUGUAUGUCUUUCUUGCUCCCUUAACCAAGUCCAGGGAAAUGACCUGCUGGUUUUCUGUGGAACUUGUAUUUAUUCACAUCCACUGCUACAUCUUGGAUGAACUGCUUCAUGUCUUUGUGUCAAGCUUUUACAUUUUG